GCAGGCGGGGCGGCCGGCCCGGCGAUCGCCGCGGGCAGCCCUGCGAGGACCCAGCCCCCGUGGAGCCAGCGGCGAGGCUGCGGCCGACCUGACGCGCGGGAUGAAGCCCAGACCCGCGGCCUUCGUGGACAACAGGCUGAAGCAGCGGGUUGUGCAGUACCUCACCAGCAACAAAUGUGGCAAAUACGUGGACAUUGGAGUCUUAGCAUCUGAUUUACAAAGAAUGUACAGUGUAGACUAUGGUCGAAGAAAAAGAAAUGCUUUUAGGAUUCAGGUAGAAAAAGUAUUUAACAUAAUUACUAGUGAGAAAGAACUUAAGGAUCUAACAGAAUUAGAAGAUGAACAUCUGGCAAAAAGAGCAAGACAAGGUGAAGAGGAUAAUGAGUUUACUGAAAGCUAUUCAGAUGAUGAUUCAAAUAUGGAAGACUACCCAGAUCCACAGGCAGCAAAUCACAUGAACAGCUCCCUGCUCUCCUUAUAUCGGAAAGGACAUCCUGAAUCUGUUUCAAGGACUCCCGAGAUGGAGCCCAGAGAAACCACUGGCUCGAGCCCAUGGACACCUUCCGGAACACGCUCCAUCCCCUUGAAGACCCCAGCCAGAGGUUCUGAGGGAGGGUGGUUUAUCGACAGAACUGGUGGAAAGAUGGACGUGACAGAUGAGAAGAGUAAUCACAAGAAGCUAGGAUCUGAGAUAGAGGAUCCCAAAGAUGCUUCUCUUCUGGAGUGUAGUGAAAAAAGGAAAGUCCGGCUGAAGAGCAAAGGAAGCAAAAGGAAGAAAGACCUUCAGGAAGCAGAUGGAGAAAUAGAAGCUGUCCUGCAGCAGAAAGCUAAAGCCAAGGAGCUAGAGUUACAGGUCUCCAAGGUGAAGUUUGAAGAUGUUGGAGGCAAUGAUACGACGUUAAAGGAGGUGUGCAAGAUGCUCAUCCACAUGCGUCACCCCGAGGUGUACCACCACCUGGGCGCCACCCCGCCGCGCGGAGUCCUCCUUCACGGGCCGCCAGGCUGCGGGAAGACGUUGCUCGCACACGCCGUUGCUGGGGAACUGGACCUCCCAAUUCUGAAGGUAGCUGCCACGGAGAUUGUGUCCGGAGUAUCUGGGGAGUCUGAGCAGAAGCUGAGGGAGCUGUUUGAGCAGGCCGUGUCAAACGCACCCUGUGUCCUUUUUAUUGAUGAAAUUGAUGCUAUUACCCCCAAGAGAGAAGUUGCUUCAAAAGACAUGGAACGAAGAAUUGUAGCCCAGCUCCUUACCUGCAUGGAUGAUCUGAAUACCAUGGCCACGACGGCCCGGGUCCUCGUCAUUGGAGCCACCAACCGACCGGACGCCUUAGACCCUGCUUUGAGACGUGCAGGAAGGUUCGACCGAGAGAUAUGCCUCGGGAUCCCAGACGAAGCCUCCAGGGAAAGAAUACUUCGAACUUUGUGCAGAAAACUUAGACUUCCGGAAAGUUUCCCUUUCCGUCACUUAGCACACCUGACGCCAGGCUUCGUUGGUGCGGACCUGAUGGCGCUGUGCCGAGAGGCAGCCAUGGGUACGGUCAGCAGGGUCCUGAUGGUGCUGCAGGAGCACCUGCCCCAGGAUCCCGUGAGUGCGGGUUUGCCGUCUGGACGAGGCCGGGAAGACUGGAUGGGCGCCGAGCCCGCUCCUGGGACACCGGUGCUUUCUGUGCAGGAGGAGUUACAGCGGCUGCUGGACCUGCUGAGGAGCCACAAGCCCCUGUCCGAGGAGCAGCUGCGGGGGCUGUGCAUCGAAUGGGGUGAUUUCACUGCUGCCCUGGCCUCCGUCCAGCCCUCUGCCAAAAGGGAAGGCUUUGUCACCGUCCCCAAUGUGACCUGGGCAGAUAUCGGCGCCCUGGAAGAUAUCCGGGAGGAGCUCACCAUGGCGAUACUGGCACCGGUGCGCAACCCCGAUCAGUUCAGAGCUCUUGGAUUGGUGACUCCCGCUGGGGUCCUCCUGGCUGGCCCCCCCGGCUGUGGGAAAACGCUGCUGGCAAAGGCUGUUGCAAAUGAAUCCGGACUGAACUUUAUAUCUGUCAAGGGCCCCGAAUUGCUCAACAUGUAUGUCGGUGAGAGCGAGCGCGCAGUCCGCCAGGUGUUCCAGCGAGCCAGGAGCUCUGCACCCUGCGUCAUCUUCUUUGACGAAGUGGACGCCCUGUGCCCUCGAAGGUCAGACCGGGAGGCGGGGGCAAGUGUCCGGGUGGUGAAUCAGCUACUUACCGAGAUGGACGGUCUCGAAGCACGGCAGGAGGUGUUCAUUAUGGCAGCCACCAACCGGCCAGGUGCACCUGCGUGUGAACAACGGUCUUAUCACUGUGAGCUAUGGGAAGCUUCUCCAGAAUGGUUGAGGGCUCUUCGUGGAGGAACCUCAAUGUCAGGCAGCGUUUGGGGCCUGCUCUUUGCUCCUGGUACCGAGAGUCUGAUAUCAUUGACCCUGCGAUCCUGCGCCCCGGACGCCUAGACAAAACACUGUUUGUGGGUUUGCCACCCCCAGCAGACCGUCUGGCCAUCCUAAAAACCAUUACAAAAUGAGCUAUACCAAAAGAUUUCACUUCAAGGGUGUCCUGUAUCUAGAAAGCUGACAGCUCCCCGCGGCAUGCAGACGUGAGAAGAUUUCUCCUCUCGGCCCUCAUAAAAGGAACGCUGAAUUUGGCGGAGUGUUUUCAACAGUGUUCCCGUCAUAAACACAGAAGCAUUUCUGGACUGAGCUUGAUGCUUCUCUUUAUGUAAGCUGAAGACCUUGCUCAAAGCCAGUUCGUUGAAAACAACUUUGUGGAAGGUCAGAGAAGUGCGUCUGCCGGUACGCAGGCCAUUAUGAGAGUCCAGCUUGACCCAAGCGUCGAAUUCAGAUGUUGAGAAGUCCUGGAGAGUUAUCCUUUCGCAGUCCUCCAGGAGUUUAUUCCUUAGAUCGAGGCUUUGAUUCAAACGGGCAGCGCGUGGAGUGUGUGCAGGGCACGUCCGUACAUGGUGACUGAAGUAACGCUGGCGGUUCUGCACAAACGCUGAAGAAUCUAAUAAGGGCUUGUGCCUGAAGAUGCAGCUUCUGCCCUACCCGCCUACCCCCUACCCCCCUACUUGCUUCUACUGAUGCUGCAGGGACUGGACUGGCCCGUGUGCACCAGGCCUUCCUGCCUCCGGGGAGCCUGGGAAGCCCCAGUGUGCUGUUCCACGCCCCCCUGCACUGCUUCCCCUCCCCAUUUAAAUUAAAUUAAUAAUUUAGUUAUAAUUUAAAAUUCCACAUGUGAGUGAAAUCAUAUGCUAAUUGUCUUUCUCUAACUGACUGACUUUGCUCAGCAUUAUACCCUCCAGCUCCAUCCGUGUCGUUGCAAAUGGCAAGAUUUCAUUCUUUUUAUGGCUAAUAUUCCACUGUGUAUAUACCACACCUUCUUUACCCAUUCUUCACUCUGUAGACACUUAGGCUGCUCCCAUAUCUUGGCUAUUGUAGAUAAUGCUGCUAUAAACAUCGGAGUGUGUGUAACCCUUUGAAUUGUAUUUUAUAUUUUUAAUUUUUUGAGGAACCUCCAUACUGUUUUCCGGAAUGGUUGCACCAGUUUGCAUUCCCACCAACAGUUCCCCUUUCUCCACAUCCACGCCAACACCUGUUGUUUCUUGUGUUACUGAUUUUAGCCGUUCUGACAGGUGUGAGGUGGUAGCUCAUCGUGGUUUUGAUUUGUAUUCCCUGAUGAUGAGUGAUGUUGAGCAUCUUUUCAUGUGUCUGUUGGCCAUCUGGAUGUCUUCUUUGGAGAAGUGUCUUUUCAUGUCUUCUGCCCCUUUUUUAAUUUGCUAUUUGUUUUUUGGGUGUUGAAUUGUAUCAGUUCUUUGUAUAUUUUGGAUACUAACCCUUUAUCAGAUAUGUCAUUUGCAAAUAUUUUUUCCCAUUUAGUAGUUUGCCUUUUAGUUUUGUUGGUUGUUUCCUUUUUCCACAGAAGCUUUUUAUUUUGAUGAAGUUCCAGUAGUUUAUUUUUGCUUUUGUUUCCCUUGCCUCAGGAGACAUAUCUAGAAAGAAGUUACUAUGGCUGAUGUCAGAGACAUCACUGCCUGUGUUGUCUUCUAGGAGUUUUAUGGUUUCAGGUCUCACAUUUAGGUCUUUCAUCCAUUUUGAGUCUAUUUUUGUGUAUGAUGUAAGAAAGUGGUCCAGUUUUCCCAGCCAUUGGAUGUUCUUUUCUGCUUUGUCGAAGAUUAGUUGACCAUAGAGUUGUAGGUUCAUUUCUGGGUUUUCUGUUCUGUUCCAUUGAUCUAUGUGUCUGUUUCUAUGCGAGCACCAUGCUGUCUUGAUGACUAAAGGUCUGUGAUAUAACAUGAAGUCUGGAAUCGUGAUGCCUCCAGCUCUGCUUUUCCAAGAUUGCUUUCACUCUUUGGGGUCUUUGUGGUUCCAAACAAAUUUUAGGAUUGUUUGUCUAGCUCUGUGAAAAGUGCUGUUGGCAUUUUGAUAAGGAUUGCAUUAAAUCUGUAGAUUGCUUUGGGUAGUAUACAUUUUAACAGUAUUUGUUCUCCUAAUCCAUGAGCAUGGAAUGUCUCCCAUUUUUUUGUGUCAUCUUCAGUUUCUUAUAUCAGUGUCUUAUAGUUUUCAGAGCACAGGUCUUUCAGCUCUUUGAGUAGGUUUAUGCCUAGGUGUUUUAUUGUUUUUGGUGCAAUUAUAAAUGGGACUGUUUUCUUAAUUUUUCUUUCUGCUGCUUCAUUAUUAGUAUAGAAAUGCAACAGAUUUCUGUACCUCGAUUUUGUAUCCUGUGAUAUUACUGAAUUUAUUUAUCAGUUCCAGCUGUUUUUUGGUGGAAUCUUUUGGGGGUUUCUACAUAAAAUAUCAUGUGAUCUGCAAAUAGAGAUGUUUGCUGCUGUUUGCCAAUUCGGAUUCCUUUUUUCUUUCUGUUGUCUGAUUGCUGUGGCUGGACUUCCAGUACUGUGUCGAAUAAAAGUAGUGAGAGUGGACAUCCUUGUCUUGUUCCUGACCACAGAGGAAAAGCUCUCUGUUUUUCCCCAUUUAGGAUGAUAUUAGCUGUGGGUUUUUCAUAGGUUUUUAUUAUAUUGAGGUAUGUUCCCUCUAAACUUACUUUGUUGAGGGUUUUUACCAUGAACGGAUAUUGGACUUUGUCAAAUGCUUUUUCUGCCUCUAUUGAAAGGAUCAUAUGGUUUUCAGCCUUUCUCUUGUUGAUGUGACGCAUCACAUUGAUUGAUCUGCAAAUACUGAACCACCCUAAUAUCCUAGGAAUAAAUCCCACUUGAUUGUGGUGAAUGUUUUUUUUAAUGUACUGUUGGAUUCAGUUUGCUCAUAUUUUGUUGAGAAUUUUUGCAUCCAUGUUCAUCAGGGAUUUUGGCCCAUAGUUCUCUUUUUUUGUGGUGUCUUUAUUGGAUCAGGAUCAUGCUGGCCUCACAGAAUGAAUUUGGAAACUUUCCUUCCUCCUGUAUUUUUUUCAGUUGCAGAUUUGAACUUUAGAACUCAGAAUUCCUAAUUCCUGGUCCAAUGUUACUUCUUUUUAGUCCUUUUUUGUGAAGUACCGUACACAUACAGAGAAGUGGAGACAUCAUUAAAUACAACUGCAUGAGUUUCUAUAAGCAGAACCUCCAGAUGAAGGAAGAGAACAUUUCCGGUUAUAUUCAUGGAGCAGUGGUUACCAGGGCUGUGCCGAGGCAGCGGGAGGGCCAGUGACUGUGCGUCCAGCGUUUCAUCUGGGGAAGAUGAAACGAGCUCUAGAGACGGAUGGUUGCACAACACUGUGAAUGUACACAAUGCUACUAAACUGCACACUUAGAAAUGGUUAAACUGAUAAAUUCUGUUAAGCAAAUGUUACCACAAUAAGAGAAGAGAGAUCAUCGCCAGAGCCUCAAAGCUGUGCUCCUUCCUUCCAGCCCUUCCCCCCAGCCCACCCGCGCCCCAGGGUUAA